UGAGGAAUAUUGGUCAAUGGACGCAAGUCUGAACCACCCAAGUAGCGUGCAGGAUGACGGCCCUAUGGGUUGUAAACUGCUUUUAUAUGGGGAUAAAGUGGGGAACGUGUUCCCUUUUGCAGGUACCAUAUGAAUAAGGACCGGCUAAUUCCGUGCCAGCAGCCGCGGUAAUACGGAAGGUUCGGGCGUUAUCCGGAUUUAUUGGGUUUAAAGGGAGCGUAGGCCGUUUGGUAAGCGUGUUGUGAAAUGUAGGAGCUCAACUUCUAGAUUGCAGAGCGAACUGUCAGACUUGGAUGCGCACAAAGUAGGCGGAAUUCAUGGUGUAGCGGUGAAAUGCUUAGAUAUCAUGAAGAACUCCGAUUGCGAAGGCAGCUUACGGGAGCGCAACUGGCGGUGAAGCUCGAAGGUGCGGGUAUCGAACAGG
rnacentral:rRNA from 1 species